UUCGAAAAUUAAUCUAUUAAAAAAUAAAUGCAACAAAUAAUUAAUAAACACAAACACAUUACUCCCGCAUACAGUAUCCAAGUCACUCUACUCUACUCUACUCUACUCUACUCUAUCAAUGUAGUCCACAGUGUAGUAUGUAUUUAUUU
rnacentral:sRNA from 14 species